UCCCUGGUGGUCCAGUGGUUAAGAAUCUUCCUUCCAAUGCAGGGAAUGCAGGUUCGAUCCCUGCUUGGGGAA
rnacentral:tRNA from 1 species